GACGAACGCUGGCGGCGUGCUUAACACAUGCAAGUCGAACGGAAAGGCCCUGCUUUUGUGGGGUGCUCGAGUGGCGAACGGGUGAGUAACACGUGAGUAACCUGCCCUUGACUUUGGGAUAACUUCAGGAAACUGGGGCUAAUACCGGAUAGGAGCGCCUGCUGCAUGGUGGGGGCUGGAAAGUGUCGGCGGUUGGGGAUGGACUCGCGGCUUAUCAGCUUGUUGGUGGGGUAGUGGCUUACCAAGGCUUUGACGGGUAGCCGGCCUGAGAGGGGGACCGGCCACAUUGGGACUGAGAUGAGGCCCAGACUCCUACGGGAGGCAGCAGCGGGGAAUAUUGCACAAUGGGCGGAAGACUGAUGCAGCAACGCCGCGUGCGGGAUGACGGCCUUCGGGUUGUAAACCGCUUUCGCCUGUGACGAAGCGUGAGUGACGGUAAUGGGUAAAGAAGCACCGGCUAACUACGUG
rnacentral:rRNA from 1 species